rnacentral:misc_RNA from 1 species
UUUCCGUAGGUGAACCUGCGGAAGGAUCAUUAUUGUAUAACCGAGGUGCGAGGGCUGUCGCUGUCCCGAAAGGUCGUGCACGCCCGAGUGCCCUCACACACAUCCAUCUCACCCCUAUGUGCACCACCGCGUGGGUCCCCCUUUGGCUUGUUCGGAGGGGGGCUUACGUUUUCACACAAACUUUGUAUGCAGUGUAGAAUGUAUUUUUUGUUUUUGCGAUCACGCAAUCAAUACAACUCUCAACAACGGAUCUCUUGGCUCUCGCAUCGAUGAGAACGCAGC